rnacentral:rRNA from 1 species
UAAAGGAAGCGAUUCCGGCUACGGAUGGGCAUGCGGCGCAUUAGCUAGUCGGCGGGGUAACGGCCCACCGAGGCGACGAUGCGUAGGGGUUCUGAGAGGAAGGUCCCCCACACUGGUACUGAGACACGGACCAGACUCCUACGGGAGGCAGCAGUGAGGAAUAUUGGUCAAUGGGCGAGAGCCUGAACCAGCCAAGUCGCGUGAGGGAAGACGGUCCUAUGGAUUGUAAACCUCUUUUGUCGGGGAGCAAAAAGGCCUCGUGAGGCCACAAGCGAGAGUACCCGAAGAAAAAGCAUCGGCUAACUCCGUGCCAGCAGCCGCGGUAAUACGGAGGAUGCGAGCGUUAUCCGGAUUUAUUGGGUUUAAAGGGUGCGUAGGCGGACUGGAAAGUCAGCGGUAAAAUCGAGAGGCUCAACCUCUUUCCGCCGUUGAAACUGUCGGUCUUGAGUGGGCGAGAAGUAUGCGGAAUGCGUGGUGUAGCGGUGAAAUGCAUAGAUAUCACGCAGAACUCCGAUUGCGAAGGCAGCAUACCGGCGCCCGACUGACGCUGAGGCACGAAAGCGUGGGUAUCGAACAGGAUUAGAUACCCUGGUAGUCCACGCAGUAAACGAUGAAUACUAAUUGUCCGGUCAGAAUGAUGACUGG